rnacentral:snoRNA from 1 species
AUGGCCUCUUCGAAGAUCCGUAGAUUUUGCAUUUUUGCGGUGGUUUAUGGAUUCAAAGCGAGGCCUAAAUUAACGAUCAUGUCUUUGCUAUUAUAUCAGAGGGCAUAUCAUUGAAUUUCCGAUUUCCAAAGGGAAGAAAAUAAAUAAAGUUGUGCUAUUUCCAUGCAUUCCUUUUUUCUUUCAUUCAAUGACACAUAC